UUCGGGCGCCGCCGCCAUGCCCCCCCUGCGCGCGCUGCGGGCCGCGCUCCGCGUCUACGCCGUGGGGAUCGCGGUGGUGCUGGCGCAGCUUCUGCGCAGGCUCCGCGGCCGCUUCCGGUCGCCGGCGCUACCCCCCCAGCCGGGCCGCGUGGCCAUCGUGACGGGGGCGACGGACGGCAUCGGACGCAGCACCGCGAAGCAGCUGGCGCGGCUGGGCGUGCGCGUGGUCGUGGCCGGGAACGACGCGCGCCGGGGACAGGAAGUCGUCAGCGCCAUCCGGGCGGAGACGGGGAGCGACCGAGCGCACUUCCUGUUCCUGGACCUCGCCUCCCUGGCCUCCGUCCGAGGUUUCGUCCGCGACUUCCGG